rnacentral:misc_RNA from 1 species
UCCGAGUUUCUCUCGGCAGUCGGGUCUGAGAGAUACAACAGACCCCGAGGGUUGCGCUCGUUGCGGGACUUAACCCAACAUCUCACGACACGAGCUGACGACAGCCGUGCAACACCUGUGCAUGCUCCCUUGCGAGUCCCUCACCUUUCGGUUUGGUACCACAUGCAUGUCAAGCCUGGGUAAGGUUCUUCGCGUACCAUCGAAUUAAACCGCACGCUCCGCCGCUUGUGCGGGCCCCCGUCAAUUUCUUUGAGUUUUAACCUUGCGGUCGUACUCCCCAGGCGGGUCACUUAAUGCGUUGGCUACGGCACUGCCGGGGUCGAUACCGACAACACCUAGUGACCAUCGUUUACGGCUAGGACUAA